AGAAAAGAAAAGAGGAAGCAAUCAGUUACAGGCUAUCAAGAAAAGACAAAAAGGAGUUAUUGCAACAAACCUCGUUCCACUAAACCACACCGCACCAGUGAGCACCGGCGGGGCUCGCCGGCGGCCUCGUGUCGUCGGAGCCGGCGUUAAAGACGGGGUUUCGCCGUGGGUCUGCCAAUGGGUGUUCGUGAAAGUACGUCGUCAUAGAUGUGUUUGAUUCAGGAGGAGGAUGGGAAGUAAGCGUUCCCCCAAGCCAAAUAUCCCUGAUUCACGCCUCUCCCCCUCGUCGAUCGAUAUCCCUCAGCUUUCUGGUUGGAAUCAGAAUUUGAGGAGGAAUCUUGGGGGUUUGGAGUGUCGAAUAGGGUUUGAGCAGAGAUCGAUGGCGGCCGCGGAGGAGGACGUGACGUACGAGAGCGAUCCCGCGGAGGCGCGCUGCCCACGAUGCGCCGUAGGGGGGGCGAGCGACGAGGAGGAAGGGGAGGGAUCCGACGGGCGAGGGAAAGUCUAAGGUGCAUGGCUGGAUGCGACGACGAGUCAAGGCGGAGGCUUAUGAUGACGAAGAGGAAUGCUACGAGGAGGAGGAGAAGAAGCGGUGGAAGGCGAAGUUGGAAUCGUGCUGUUGUGGCAGUGGGCGGAAGCCCCGGCGAGGGAGAUGGACAGAAGUUUGGUAGGAAGCUAGAGGAAAUUAAGGACAAGAAUCAGGUGGACGAUGAAGAUAAGAAGAGAUGCACGAUGAUCGAUCGGUUCCAGGAGAAUGGAAGAGGACGCCACAGCUCACCUGUAAACCAUCAAGAGCCAGCAUCAGAUGAUGAUAUCGGGAAACAGUCUCCUCAAGCUGCAAGCGUGCAAUCAGACCAUGUUCUUCCAUAGAAGAAUACAUUUGCUUCAAGCGUCAAUUCUGUCACCCUCAAUUUACCCCUUUGGGUCAUCCAAUCAAGACACAACCUUGACCCAGAAAAGGGCUGUGCAAACUGGAAGUACCAAUAAGGCCAUUUCGUGAUUGAGAGGGAUGGAAGAAAAUGCUAUUACAUCCCAGUCUAACUCAUCGAUGAGAUAUGGUUGGCCAUGAUAGGUUGUAUAUGGACGAUUCCCUUGAUCCGGCUGCAGGGAUGACUGCAACUAACUCUAGUCUCCAGCCUUUAGGAUCUUUAUUGCCAUUAAAAAAAUUAUUCAGUCUGCUAGUUGUAGGGUUCAAGUGAGGGGCUUCAGUACUGCAGGACCUCCAGAUAGUCCCUUCAGAAUCACCAAUUAGCCAAGUUGGAAGAGUUGCUGCUCAAAUUAAACCUAUUUUAACUGAACACGGCCGGUCAAAGUUCCAACACAAUCUGCAAUGGGAAUUUCAACUCAGCAACUGGUCCAGUCCCCUGUGAUGGAAAUCAAGCAUUAGCUUCUCUGCCCUCAUCUGCCAAUUCAUCUCAAGUUGGAGAAACUGAUUCACCUCCAGGUUCAAGUAAAUCAAACAUCUCACUGGGGUCGAAAAGCUAGGAUUAGCAACCAAGCAAGUGGAAGCGACUCUUUUCUGUAUGGUGGAGCUCAGGUGAUUGGAGCAACUGGAGCUAUGGGCCUUGCCUACGGUGAUCAAAACUUUCCUGUCACUCCAGUACAUUUACCAGUUACGCAACUUGAGGGUCAGCAUCCUGGUACUAUUGGGGUUUCUGCUACGAGAAUUGCUCUUCCGGGACAUGUAGCUCAGCAGCAACUAGGUUUUAGCAAUUCUGAAAC